rnacentral:rRNA from 1 species
UACGUAGGGUGCGAGCGUUGUCCGGAAUUAUUGGGCGUAAAGAGCUCGUAGGCGGUCUGUCGCGUCUGCUGUGAAAACUCAGGGCUUAACCCUGAGCUUGCAGUGGGUACGGGCAGACUAGAGUGCGGUAGGGGAGACUGGAAUUCCUGGUGAUAGCGGUGAAAUGCGCAGAUAUCAGGAGGGAACACCGGUGGGCGAAGGCGGGUCUCUGGGGCCAUAAACUGA